rnacentral:rRNA from 1 species
CCUGAUCCAGCGACGCCGCGUGAGUGAAGAAGUGUUUCGGCAUGUAAAGCUCUAUCAGCAGGGAAGAAAAUGACGGUACCUGACUAAGAAGCCCCGGCUAACUACGUGCCAGCAGCCGCGGUAAUA